UCUCUGCUCACCACCAGGCACGCGCAGCGUAGCAGGAGAAAAGAGAAAACGGAGCUAGACGCAGAUGAGACGAGCGGAGUAAAUUAUAUUAAAAGUGAUUCAAAGUUGAUUUAAAAAAGAUAAAAAAUACCAUCCACACGGUCGGGAAACCCAGUAGACGGUAUAGAACAUUAACCAACGGUGUUUUGGUCAGGUUUUUUGGACUGGAUAAGAAAGUUGAUCGUGAGUGAGAGGACAACACACACACGCGCUCUGAUACAAGAUGGCGAGCCAGACCCACGGACUGCUUUGAUCUUCGCGCCAGUGAGAGGACUUGCUGGUUUAUCAAGAGACAAUAGCUGAACUCACUGCCAGAGUGGUAGGAGUAUUGAAGAAAUUAUAAGGUUGGAACUGGAUUUAAGUUGUACCUGGAUUUAAAGAGACACUAUAUAUUGUA